UACGUAGGGGGCUAGCGUUGUCCGGAUUUAUUGGGCGUAAAGAGCGUGUAGGCGGCCAGGUAGGUCUGCUGUGAAAACUCGAGGCUCAACCUCGAGACGUCGGCGGAAACCAUCUGGCUAGAGUCCGGAAGAGGAGAGUGGAAUUCCUGGUGUAGAGGUGGAAUUCGUAGAUAUUAGGAAGAACACCAGUGGCGAAGGCGGCGCACUGGUCCGGUACUGACGCUGAGGUGCGAAAGCGUGGGGAGCAAACAGG
rnacentral:rRNA from 1 species